rnacentral:rRNA from 1 species
AGCUGACUCUACGCACCGAAUAUCUCGGCUCUAGCAUCGAUGCAAAACGUAGCGAAAUGCGAUACCUGGUGUGAAUUGCAGAAUCCCGUGAACCGUCCAGUUUUUGAGAGCGAGUUGCGCCCGAACCCUUUAGGGUGAGGGCGCGUCUGCCUGGGUGACGCAC